rnacentral:rRNA from 1 species
AGAGUUUGAUCCUGGCUCAGGAUGAACGCUGGCGGCGUGCUUAACACAUGCAAGUCGAACGAACCUUCGGGUUAGUGGCGGACGGGUGAGUAACGCGUGGGAAUCUGCCCUCAGGAGGGGGAUAACGGUUGGAAACGACCGCUAAUACCCCAUAUGCCGAGAGGUGAAAUGAAUUUCGCCUGAGGAUGAGCCCGCGUCUGAUUAGCUUGUUGGUGAGGUAAAGGCUCACCAAGGCAUCGAUCAGUAGCUGGUCUGAGAGGAUGAUCAGCCACACUGGGACUGAGACACGGCCCAGACUCCUACGGGAGGCAGCAGUGGGGAAUUUUCCGCAAUGGGCGAAAGCCUGACGGAGCAACGCCGCGUGAGGGAUGAAGGCCUCUGGGCUGUAAACCUCUUUUCUCAAGGAAGAAGAUAUGACGGUACUUGAGGAAUAAGCCACGGCUAAUUCCGUGCCAGCAGCCGCGGUAAUACGGGAGUGGCAAGCGUUAUCCGGAAUUAUUGGGCGUAAAGCGUCCGCAGGCGGCCUUUCAAGUCUGCUGUUAAAGCGUGGAGCUUAACUCCAUCAUGGCAGUGGAAACUGAUCGGCUUGAGUAUGGUAGGGGCAGAGGGAAUUCCCGGUGUAGCGGUGAAAUGCGUAGAUAUCGGGAAGAACACCAGUGGCGAAGGCGCUCUGCUGGGCCAUUACUGACGCUCAUGGACGAAAGCCAGGGGAGCGAAAGGGAUUAGAUACCCCUGUAGUCCUGGCCGUAAACGAUGAACACUAGGUGUCGGGGGAAUCGACCCCUUCGGUGUCGUAGCUAACGCGUUAAGUGUUCCGCCUGGGGAGUACGCACGCAAGUGUGAAACUCAAAGGAAUUGACGGGGGCCCGCACAAGCGGUGGAGUAUGUGGUUUAAUUCGAUGCAACGCGAAGAACCUUACCAGGGCUUGACAUCCUGCGAACCUUUAAGAAAUUAGAGGGUGCCUUCGGGAACGCAGUGACAGGUGGUGCAUGGCUGUCGUCAGCUCGUGUCGUGAGAUGUUGGGUUAAGUCCCGCAACGAGCGCAACCCACGUUUUUAGUUGCCAGCAUUCAGUUGGGCACUCUAGAAAGACCGCCGGUGAUAAACCGGAGGAAGGUGUGGAUGACGUCAAGUCAUCAUGCCCCUUACGUCCUGGGCUACACACGUACUACAAUGCUACGGACAAAGGGCAGCAAACUCGCGAGAGCUAGCAAAUCCCAUAAACCGUGGCUCAGUUCAGAUCGUAGGCUGCAACUCGCCUACGUGAAGUAGGAAUCGCUAGUAAUCGCAGGUCAGCAUACUGCGGUGAAUACGUUCCCGGGCCUUGUACACACCGCCCGUCACACCAUGGAAGUUGGCCACGCCCGAAGUCGUUACUUUAACCCUUGUGGAGAAGGACGCCGAAGGUGGGGCUGAUGACUGGGGUGAAGUCGUAACAAGGUAGCCGUACCGGAAGGUGCGGCUG